rnacentral:autocatalytically_spliced_intron from 1 species
UUACUGUUUGUAGUCUGGACUAUAUCUUCACCAUUUCAGGUGCGACACGUGUAGUCUCUACGGAACCUCACGAUGAUUUUCAUCAUACUUCAGAGUCUUUACCAUUAAGUUUCACUUAAUCAUUCAAAACUCCUUAAUCUUUCUCAAGAUCGUAAGUUUCCUCGGUAUUACCAUCAGCCGAACUGUUAAGGCUUCACCGAUAUAGUGUCGUCCACUUUAUAGGUUCUUGUUUCCCUAUAAAGGCUCCUAUUUUUCUUGAAGGCCGUUGC